GUCGUGUAAUGUUUUGAGUGUUUCCAGUUUUGUCUCGAGAGUGUUCUCAGUUUUCUGGUUUCCCUCGGCCUUUUUUGUAGGCCUAGGCCUCGCUACUGAUUAACAGUUAAGCUGAAUAUCAUCAUCAUUAUUAUGAUAAUUAUGUUUGGCUUGGGAACAGACAAAGAUAGAUUGACAAGUUUUUCUGUGGUCUAUCUACAUGAUCAUCAUGAUCUAUCGAAUGUUUGUUGUUGACCGUUGUUGUUCCCCAUCAUCAUGCCCAUAUAUUUCAGUGUUUCCACACAAUACAGUUGUCUAUUGUGUGGAAACACUGAAAUAUUGGGAACAACAACAAACAUUCGACAGGUUGAGAUGUUCAGCGCAGGAAUAGUAUGUGUGUGUACUUUAUUUGUGGCUUGGACAUGUUGGACCGCUUUUUCACCCCGUCAGGCCCGUGAAAUCAACAUUUUAUAAGGUCGUAAAAAUCAGAAUGGUAGUCAUUGUCUUUUAGUGACAUCAUUCAUGGCAUCAAAAGAUUGAAAUCAUGUCUAAAAUCCAAAUGACAAUUGACAUUUGGUUGCCAAAAUCCUUUUCGCCGUAACUGUCAGACUCUGACUUUUAGUCAUUUGUCAUUUGUGGAAGUCACUACAAUGUAUGUUGUAACACAACACAGGAUCAAUGAUAUUACAAGAACUCAAAGUCAAAAGAUAAUUUCAUUCAAUUCAUUUCUAGGGCUUUAAGAACUAUUUGCGGUCCACCUCAGAUGGAAGAGGAUUAUACAACAAAUUGCAUGACCUUGGAUUCGCCCCUCGUGGCAUGAGAGCCAAACUGGUCAGAUUUGCUGUGGGUUACCUUUUCGAGAAAAGUGGAAGAUAUCCAAAAAGUGAUGAGAAAAACCUUCUUGCAAUGGAAAUGAUAGAAGUAUUUCCAUUCUUGAAAAGUCCAAGAGGAAGUGGAUGCCAAGCCUUCUAUCAGCGGGCAAGAGAUACGAAACCAGCCAAAGGUUUUAUUCACGACAGAAUAAACAAUAUCCGUAAGCAGGAGGCAAAGACCAAGGGAAAGAAAACAA